CGGUUCGCAGGGGGUUCGCCAUUGUCAGUAUUCGGUCUACUGGCGAGAUGAUGGUUUCUGAAUUGAGGCUCCGUGUGAAGUAUAUACUUUUCCAAGGAAAAUACGUUGCAAUAUGGCCAAUAAAUUAGAUACCGAUACCAAAGUUGAAGUUAUAAUAGAUGACGAGAACAAACUUUAUAAAUGUCUCAAGUGCAAUGAAAUAUCGAAGCGACGUUAUAAUGCUGAAAGACAUUAUAAACGGUUUCACGAAAAUACUUUUCCGAAAAAAUAUGCUGCGGCACAAUAUUUCCCACAAAAGGCGAUUUUUAUGUACAUAAGGAAAUAGCACACAAUGAAAAAAGAAAAUAUCAGGAACGAUUUAAGAAACAUUUUCAAAUAUCCAAAAUUGACGAAUUCAAAGAUUCUGAGAAUAUCUCAAAUGUGAAUGAAAACAAGAGCAUACUGAAAAAUAUGGAAAAUUUUAAUCAAGUGAGUAGGAGAACAAAAAUGAAAAAUAUGUCAAAAAUCAUUAAAUCAAAUUCUUCAACUUUGCAUAACGAGGAUGACAAGGAAAACACAAUAAAAAUAUAUAACAUUACGGAUUUAUCGACAGAAGGCCUAAAAAGAGGAUUACUCUCUAUUAACUUUUAAGUGUUAUUUGUAUUAAAAAUAAUAACAAAUGUAUAAAGU